AGCAGUAGCCGCGGGAAAACGAAGGGUGCAAGCGUUACUCGGAAUUACUGGGCGUAAAGCGUGCGUAGGUGGUGGUUUAAGUCCGUUGUGAAAGCCCUGGGCUCAACCUGGGAAUUGCAGUGGAUACUGGGUCACUAGAGUGUGGUAGAGGAUAGUGGAAUUUCCGGUGUAGCAGUGAAAUGCGUAGAGAUCGGAAGGAACAUCUGUGGCGAAGGCGACUAUCUGGGCCAACACUGACACUGAGGCACGAAAGCGUGGGGAGCAAACAGGAUUAGAUACCCGGGUAGUCCCUGUCUCUUAUAC
rnacentral:rRNA from 1 species